CAGGUCAUUGGGUCAAGGUUUUGGCCAGAGAAUAGCAAGGAUGACUUAUCUCUGCUCCACUAUGUCUGGAACCUCUUGGAAUCAUUUGGAGUCUUCUUCACUCUCUUGCCUGGCACCUGGACUGGGAAAACUUGGAACCCACUGGGACUGUUGACCAAAGCACAAACAUGUGGCCUCUUCAUGUGGCUUGGGCUUUCCACAGCAUGGAGGCUGAUUUCUGAGGAGAGGCCCAAAAAUAAUAUACACAAAGUUUUGGGAAUCACCUGUAAACAGUAAGAACAAAGUAGCAAGGCUGGGGCUCAGCUGUAGACAAUAAAGCCUUUGCCUGAGGGUUGCAGGAAUGAGAGGCCUCUCUGAGAGGCCCCAAGUCGAUUUUGCCCUUCUCCAGAGACAGAGAGCUGGUCUACCUGAGGCUGACAUGGGGAGGAAAGGCAAAGAGAAGGAUUGCCUGAAUGUCAAUGGUGAUUUUGCACAUUUUACAGUCACUUUUAUAAAAAGGACACAAUUGGAGAAACUGGUUGUUUUACUAAGACUUUGACUGGAAGGGUGUGCUUCCCUUUAAGGAAUCAAACGUGACUUGCAGAGCCAAUAAAAGCCGCUUGGGAAAACUGGCUUCACACCUUGUCUACACAGUCACUGUAUAGGGUUCCUAACCUGUGAGACGGGGUCCCACUAUGUUGACCAAGCUGGUCUGGAACUCCUGGACUCAAGUGAUGCUCUCAUCUCAGCCUCCCAAAGUGCUGGAAUUAUGGGCAUGAGCCACCACACCCAGCCCACAGGAGCACCUCAAUAAUCACAGGUGACAAGCAGACUCCUGGAGGCUGGACUGGAAGGAGGCCAACCUGGACCAGCUGACACAUCUCUGCUCCAAAGCUGGGACAUUGGUGUUUCUGCAAAUACCAACACUUGAAAUUUGCCGAAAUUACCUAAGUGGGCACACAAGCUGACAUGCGUGUGCUGCAUCCUUCCUGUCACAAAGGUGUGAAGACCAAUUCAAGAUGAGGCUCAACAUGUUGCCACAAUGUUCCUGCCAAAUGGAUGGGAGAGGCAUUUGGUUGUAUGGUUCCUAAGGAUAGGACACUUACUAGGCUUGAAUUAAUAGUGAAUGAUUAAUAAAAAGAAAGUUACUUUAACAGAGUUGAAGGUUGGAUAAGGCUUAGAAAAGGAAGACAGUAUUUUUUUUAUUAUUAUACUUUAAGUUCUAGCAAGAGCUAAGCAGUAAUGUGAACAAGUGUAGGAGUGUCAGAUACUGUGAACAAAUCUUACUGGCUUAAACAAAGGAUUCAGUUAGGAAACAUUAAAACUGCUACAUGUUUUGUGGGCUUUAGGUAUUUAAACAUUGUAUUGUGUGGUUGUUAUGCUUUUAAUCACAAAUGUCUAAAAUUCAUCCACUCAUUCAUUAACUUAAAUAUUUACAGAGCAUCUGUUAUUGCCUAUAUAUGGAGA
ensembl:lncRNA novel transcript, antisense to KIF2B